GUGAAGGAGUGUUAUCUUUGCACGUAUCCCAUUAAUCUUCUCCAUUAAAUAAAUGGUACCUUUUAUCUUUUUGAUUGGGACUAUAUUGCAGGAGCAUAUAUUGUUAUGACGUUUAUGUUUGUUGUUAGAGGUGGAUCAAAUAUAUUACGAUGUAAAGUCGGGUGUGCCAUUGCCUCUACUCCUUACACACUGGAUCCGCCGCUGGUUAUUGUUAUUGUUGAUGUUCAUCCGUCAAUGGUCUUGUCAUUCGUCGAUGUAAAAUUACCCUUCCGUAGUCAUUUGUGGAUUGAAGUUUGAUAAUGAAAAGUGUAAAAGUGUUUACAGCAAACUAUUUGUUCUAUAAAUUUUAAAUGCGACCCGAAUGUUAUACGGUAGUUUAGUACGUAUAUAGCUCUAAAUUUUAAUUGUGUGGUAUGUUGUUUUUUACA